rnacentral:rRNA from 1 species
GGACCAAGGAGUCUAGCAUGUGCGCGAGUCAUUGGGACCGCAUCUAAACCAAAUGGCAAAAUGAAAGUGAAGGCCGCGUUGCGCGUGCCGAGGGAGGAUGGGUCGGGCUCCGCUCGCACCCCGCACUCCCUGGGCGUCUCGUUCUCACCGCGAGAUGAGGCGCACCCAGAGCGUACACGCUGGGACCC